UUUACUGCUAAGUGUCGCCGCGGUCAUAUUUAACUCAAUGUGAAAUUAAUAUACGAAUAUAUUCCCCCCGUUCGUUGUACUACUUUAUUUAAAUUCAAAGCGACACGCGAUCCGAAUACGUGCGUUAAAUACCGGGGUUUACUUAUGCGAUGAUCGACAAAUAGCCGACGUCCCAAUCGCGUUCGUCAAUCGCGAGAUUUGAAGUGAUCGCGUAAGCUACACAGUCGCUAAUGACUCGGAACGAUCGCACGUUACGAACAACGUUUCCCAAUACUUGGCUCGGUCGCGUCUCGAGGUGUGAUACGACGAGAUACACGCGGCAUCUCGCUCCGCCGCUGUUGAGUCCGGCCGUUCCGCACGAUAACAACAAGAAAAAUUCGUGAUCGAGGACUCGCGGCGAGCUCGUCGAGGAGGCAAGCAAGAAACCGGCCCUGUGAUCGAAGACGGUCGGUCGGUACCGGUCCGGAACCCAUUCAGGUGGUGGAUGGCGGUUUACGACGGGAGGAAGCUGUUCCGCGUUGCCGAGAAGUAUCGAUGAGGCUCUCUGACGGUGGUUACACAUGUGGAGCAGGACAGAGGG